rnacentral:ncRNA from 1 species
GCUGCGGGACGACCCGCAACACAGCGCUAUUCAUGACGCAGGACGACCUGC